rnacentral:tRNA from 1 species
CCGUAGUUAGCUGAGUUGGUAGAGCGCUCCACCUGUAAUGGAGAGGUGCCGGGAUCGAUACCCGGACCAGGCG